rnacentral:tRNA from 1 species
GCAGAUAUAGCUCAAGUGGUAGAGCACAUGCUUAGCAUACACAGUCCUGGGUUCAAUCCCCAGUACCUCCU